UAUAUCUUUUUUUCAUUACAGUGACAGGUUACUUACAAAACCUGGUGUAUUUGUUGUUCAGCGGGAACCCUCCUAGCAUAUCAGGAGCCCAAGGCAGAGGCAGUACGUGACCAGGCACCAGUCACGCUUUAGAUGGAGAACAGGAGAGACGGUUUGUCAUGGAGUCAGUCCCCUGACUAAAAGACAGGUUGAAACAGAUGUCUGAACUGGGAGAGACCUUGCACUCAGCAUUACAAUGAUACUAGUACAUUUCA